rnacentral:rRNA from 1 species
GACGAACGCUGGCGGCGUGCUUAACACAUGCAAGUCGAACGGAAAGGCCCUGCUUUGGUGGGGUGCUCGAGUGGCGAACGGGUGAGUAACACGUGAGUAACCUGCCCUUGACUUUGGGAUAACUUCAGGAAACUGGGGCUAAUACCGGAUAGGAGCUCCUUCUGCAUGGUGGGGUUUGGAAAGUUUCGGCGGUUGGUGAUGGACUCGCGGCUUAUCAGCUUGGUGGUGGGGUAGUGGCUUACCAAGGCUUUGACGGGUAGCCGUCCUGAGAGGGUGACCGGCCACAUUGGGACUGAGAUACGGCCCAGACUCCUACGGGAGGCAGCAGUGGGGAAUAUUGCACAAUGGGCGGAAGCCAGAUGCAGCAACGCCGCGUGCGGGAUGACGGCCUUCGGGUUGUAAACCGCUUUCGCCUGUGACGAAGCGUGAGUGACGGUAAUGGGUAAAGAAGCACCGGCUAACUACGUG